rnacentral:rRNA from 1 species
AUGGUCCUCUGGCGGGCGCUGGCCGCCCCCCUCCCCGGGGGGGUGGCCAGCGCCCGCCAGAGGACCAUCAAACUCCAGUCAGUAAACGAUGCAGUCUGAAAAACAUUUAAUAAACUAAAACUUUCAACAACGGAUCUCUUGGUUCUGGCAUCGAUGAAGAACGCAGCGAAAUGCGAUAAGUAAUGUGAAUUGCAGAAUUCAGUGAAUCAUCGAAUCUUUGAACGCACAUUGCGCCCUUUGGUAUUCCGAAGGGCAUGCCUGUUCGAGCGUCAUUACAACCCUCAAGCUCUGCUUGGUAUUGGGCACCGUCCUUUGCGGGCGCGCCUCAAAGACCUCGGCGGUGGCGUCUUGCCUCAAGCGUAGUAGAACAUACAUCUCGCUUCGGAGCGCAGGGCGUCGCCCGCCGGACGAACUCUUCUGAAGUUUCUCAAGGUGACCU